AGUAUUCAGGAAAUAGCAGGACUUCUAAUCCUACAUAACCCAAGGGUAGCCUG
rnacentral:tRNA from 1 species